GUGCCAGCAGCCGCGGUAAUACGUAGGUGGCAAGCGUUGUCCGGAAUUAUUGGGCGUAAAGCGCGCGCAGGCGGUCUUUUAAGUCUGAUGUGAAAGCCCCCGGCUCAACCGGGGAGGGUCAUUGGAAACUGGGAGACUUGAGGGCAGAAGAGGAGAGUGGAAUUCCAAGUGUAGCGGUGAAAUGCGUAGAUAUUUGGAGGAACACCAGUGGCGAAGGCGGCUCUCUGGCCUGUUACUGACGCUGAGGCGCGAAAGCGUGGGGAGCAAACAGGAUUAGAUACCCCCGUAGUCC
rnacentral:rRNA from 1 species